rnacentral:rRNA from 1 species
AUUGAACGCUGGCGGCAGGCCUAACACAUGCAAGUCGAACGAGUGGCGGACGGGUGAGUAAUGUCUGGGAAACUGCCUGAUGGAGGGGGAUAACUACUCGAAACGGUAGCUAAUACCGCAUACCAUCAGAUGUGCCCAGAUGGGAUUGGCUAGUUGGUGGGGUAACGGCUCACCAAGGCGACGAUCCCUAGCUGGUCUGAGAGGAUGACCAGCCACAAUGAAACUGAGACAGGGUCGAGACGCCGACGAGAGGCAGAAGUGGGGAAUAUUGCACAAUGGGCGCAAGCCAGAUGAAGCCAUGCCGCGUGUAUGAAGAGGGCCUUCGGGUUGUAAAGUACUUUCAGCGGGGAGGCGUUAACCGCAGAAGAAGCACCGGCUAACUCCGUGCAAGCCUCCGCGGUAAUAC